AUGGCGUGGGAGGGGAGAAUGAGUGGAUUGCAGAGGACCGUGCAGGCCCCGGGAGUCCAGCUGGCCACUGGUCGGCCAGCCACCUCAAGAUCCUGCUACCAAGUCUUCUCCACAAAGGACUGUACCCUGCAUGUGUGAGCUAAAAUAAAUCCUUCCUUCAUUUGC